rnacentral:rRNA from 1 species
GUUAUAGGGUCAAGCGAACAAGUGCAUGUGGUGGAUGCCUUGGCGAUCACAGGCGAUGAAGGACGCGGUAGCCUGCGAAAAGCUACGGGGAGCUGGCAAACAAGCUUUGAUCCGUAGAUGUCCGAAUGGGGAAACCCACUCCUUUUGGAGUAUCCAUGGCUGAAUACAUAGGCCAUGCGAAGCGAACGCGGUGAACUGAAACAUCUAAGUAACCGCAGGAAAAGAAAUCAACCGAGAUUCCCAAAGUAGUGGCGAGCGA